rnacentral:rRNA from 1 species
GCAUAUCAAUAAGCGGAGGAAAAGAAACUAACAAGGAUUCCCCUAGUAACGGCGAGUGAAGCGGGAAGAGCUCAACAUUGUAAUCUGGCUGCUUCGCAGUCCGAGUUGUAGUCUAUAGAAGCAUGAUCCGCGCCGGCCCUUGGGCAUGUCUGUUGGAACGCAGUGUCAAAGAGGGUGAAAAUCCCGUACAUACCAAGGACGACCGUGUGC